GAUUAAGAGAUUUUGUUGAUGUAAGGACUCUAGUAACAGUUUACAAAACUUUAAUUCAACCACACUUUGAUUACUGCUCGCAAGUAUGGCGUUGUCUUGGAAUUACCCUUCAAAACAAGUUGCAACGUUUGCAAAAUAGAGCAGCACGUAUCAUUACAAAGCGUGGGUAUGAAUUUAGAUCAGUCGAUAUACUUAAAGAAUUAGAUUUACCUAAUUUAAGUCUCAGAAAACAUAAUCAAUUAUGUACUACUAUGUAUCAGGUAAAUAAUAAUAUGGUGCCUGAUUACCUAAUUGAUUUAUUCACGAAAACCAGUACACUUCAUAAUCAUCAAACUAGGCAGGCUGAAUUUAACUUUGCACUCCCGAGGCCAAGUACCAACUUUUGUAAAAAAUCAUUCUCGUACAGAGGAGCUGUAGCUUGGAAUGAUUUAUUACCUAAUAUAAAAAAUAUGGGUUCAUUGUCAACCUUCAAAAGGGCUCUAGUGUCAAAUAGUCGUAAUAAUUCUUGAUAAUCAAUUUAUCUUUUUUCUUUUUCUCUUCGAUUUUAUUGUAUUAACUUAAUAAAAUAUUUUUAUAAUUGCAUGUAAUUAUUCAUACAUAUAUAGCACGGCCUAUUGGAAGAUCACAUCUUGUAAAUAUUUUAGUUUUUGUCUUUGUGAAAUAGUACCGUGGG